GCAGGCUGCAACUCGCCUGCAUGAAGCUGGAAUUGCUAGUAAUCGCGAAUCAGAAUGUCGCGGUGAAUGCGUUCCCGGGUCUUGUACACACCGCCCGUCACACCAUGGAAGUUGGGGGUGCCCAAAGCCGGCAAGCAAAUAUGCUGUCUAAGGCAAAACCAAUGACUGGGGUGAAGUCGUAACAAGGUAUC
rnacentral:rRNA from 1 species